UACGUAGGGUGCGAGCGUUAAUCGGAAUUACUGGGCGUAAAGCGUGCGCAGGCGGUUCGUUAAGUCAGCUGUGAAAGCCCCGGGCUCAACCUGGGAACUGCGGUUGAAACUGGCGAACUAGAAUCUGGCAGAGGGGGGUGGAAUUCCACGUGUAGCAGUGGAAAUGCGUAGAGAUGUGGAGGAACACCGAUGGCGAAGGCAGCCCCCUGGGCUAGAUUGACGCUCAGGCACGAAAGCGUGGGGAGCAAACAGGG
rnacentral:rRNA from 1 species